rnacentral:rRNA from 1 species
UACGGGGGGAGCGAGCGUUAUUCGGAAUCACUGGGCGUAAAGCGUGCGCAGGCGGUUUGAUAAGUCAGAAGUGAAAUCCCAGGGCUCAACCCUGGAACUGCUUUUGAAACUAUCUUACUAGAGUAUGGUAGAGGUUGGGAGAAUUCCUAGUGUAGAGGUGAAAUUCGUAGAUAUUAGGAGGAAUACCAGUGGCGUAGGCGCCCAACUGGACCAUUACUGACGCUCAGGCACGAAAGCGUGGGGAGCAAACAGG